rnacentral:sRNA from 1 species
AUUUUGUAGAAAAGGUAUUACUGAUGAGUCUAGUACCAAGCUAGGGCAUGUGAGGGAGAUAAACCGUUGGCACCACUGUUUUGCAGAUUGAAUCCAUUUACUACUUUGUGGUGGGGGAUGUUCCUGAAGAAUCCAAGGAGCUUCUCCUCCAGAGGGCCUUGGAGAUCCCGUGUCCGGUCUACACAGUGUCCUUCAACGCCAGAGGAGAAGGCACUAUAGCUUUUCUAAAGGAUCUGAGUGCCAAGACCCACAGCAGGUGCAGGGAGAAGCAGUGACCAUGGCUAAGAAGAUGAAGAUGCCCAGUGCCGCCAAAGAGCACGUUCAGUCCCAGGAGAAGGAACAAGCAUGCACAGACACCUGCGUACUGCCUUCCUAAUGAGCAUCUCUUCAUGUUUCAGAUUCCAUGCAUUUGCCGAGAGAACAGAGUGUGUAGAAUUUCCUGCAUUCUCCACAAAGGAUGGUGACGAUGUAAUGACUUGGAAUUCAAGGAACCUGAAAGGAAAACUCCCUCCAGGUACCUGGAAUCCAAAAGAAGUGGCAUAGCUUAUGUCCCGAAU